rnacentral:rRNA from 1 species
GGCAGGCCUAACACAUGCAAGUCGAGCGGCAGCGGAAAGUAGCUUGCUACUUUGCCGGCGAGCGGCGGACGGGUGAGUAAUGUCUGGGAAACUGCCUGAUGGAGGGGGAUAACUACUGGAAACGGUAGCUAAUACCGCAUAAUGUCGCAAGACCAAAGAGGGGGACCUUCGGGCCUCUUGCCAUCAGAUGUGCCCAGAUGGGAUUAGCUAGUAGGUGGGGUAACGGCUCACCUAGGCGACGAUCCCUAUCUGGUCUGAGAGGAUGACCAGCCACACUGGAACUGAGACACGGUCCAGACUCCUACGGGAGGCAGCAGUGGGGAAUAUUGCACAAUGGGCGCAAGC